rnacentral:rRNA from 1 species
GAUGAACGCUAGCGGAAGGCUUAAUACAUGCAAGUCGAGCGGUAGGUGGCUUCGGCCAUUGAGAGCGGCGCACGGGUGAGUAACGCGUACAUGACCUGCCUGUCAGAAGGGGAUAGCCCUGGGAAACUGGGGUUAAUACCCUAUGGUAUUGAUAUUAUGAAUGAUAUCAAUUAAAGUUGAGGCGCUGACAGAUGGAUGUGCGUCUGAUUAGCUAGUUGGUAGGGUAACGGCCUACCAAGGCGACGAUCAGUAGGGGGCGUGAGAGCGUGGUCCCCCACACGGGUACUGAGACACGGACCCGACUCCUACGGGAGGCAGCAGUAAGGAAUAUUGGUCAAUGCCCGCAAGGGUGAACCAGCCAUUCCGCGUGGAGGAUGAAGGCCCUAUGGGUUGUAAACUUCUUUUAGAUGGGAAGAAAAUGCUAGAUGUAUCUGGUACUGACGGUACCAUCAGAAUAAGCACCGGCUAACUCCGUGCCAGCAGCCGCGGUAAACU